rnacentral:lncRNA from 1 species
AGAAGAUCAGAAAUGAUGUAGAAGGGGAAGUCAAAUAAGUUUGCCUUCAUGUAAACUCUUUUUCUUCUCUUUCCAUUUCAGGAUGGUUUUAGUUCUUCUCCAGAGAAAGGCAUCCUGAUAAAAGGAUAUGGGCCAGCCUUUAAUUGCUGCGCCCAGGUCAGCCAUACGCUAGAGAGGACUCCGAUAAUUCCAUACUGGAGCACCUUUACACUUUGUCACAAGGAACAUUAAGUGACUUACAGAGAGUUGACCCAUGGUAUGUAUACAGCAUGAAAAAUAUGGGUC